GUCCCUACGGGAGGCAGCAGUGAGGAAUAUUGGUCAAUGGGAGAGAUCCUGAACCAGCCAAGCCGCGUGAGGGAAGACGGCCCUAUGGGUUGUAAACCUCUUUUGUCGGAGAACAAAACCCGGGACAUGUCCCGGACUGCGUGUAUCCGAAGAAAAAGCAUCGGCUAACUACGUGCCAGCAGCCGCGGUAAUACGUAGGUGGCAAGCGUUAUCCGGAUUUAUUGGGUGUAAAGGGCGUGUAGGCGGGAUUGCAAG
rnacentral:rRNA from 1 species